rnacentral:rRNA from 1 species
CAGUCGCCACGGGAACACGGAGGGAGCUAGCGUUGUUCGGAAUUACUGGGCGUAAAGCGCGCGUAGGCGGUUACUCAAGUCAGAGGUGAAAGCCCGGGGCUCAACCCCGGAACUGCCUUUGAAACUAGGUGACUAGAAUCUUGGAGAGGUCAGUGGAAUUCCGAGUGUAGAGGUGAAAUUCGUAGAUAUUCGGAAGAACACCAGUGGCGAAGGCGACUGACUGGACAAGUAUUGACGCUGAGGUGCGAAAGCGUGGGGAGCAAACAGGAUUAGAGACCCCCGUAGUCCCUGUCUCUUAUAC